AUUGAACGCUGGCGGCAGGCUUAACACAUGCAAGUCGAGCGAGCGGCGGACGGGUGGGUAAUUGCUGGGAACCUGCCUGAUGUAGGGGGCUAACUACGGGAACCGGUAGCUAAUACCGCAUAACAUCAGCUGUGCCCAGGCGGGAUUAGCUAGUCGCUGGGGUAAUGGCUCACCUAGGCGACGAUCCUUAGCUGGUCCGCGAGGCUGACCGGCAACACUGGAACGGAGAAACGGCCCAGACUCCUACGGGGGGCAGCAGUGGGGAAUAUUGGACAAUGGGCGAAAGCCUGAUGCGGCCAUGCGGCGUGGUUGAAGAAGGCCUUCGGUUUGUAAAGCACUUUCAGCGAGGAGGCGUUACUCGCAGAAGAAGCACCGGCUAACUCCGUGCCAGCAGCCGCGGUAAUUC
rnacentral:rRNA from 1 species